rnacentral:ncRNA from 1 species
UUGAAGAGCGGAAUGAAGGGGUAACGCCCGGAAACGUUCUCUUUGAUACUCCGACUGGCAUGCGUAUGUGAAAACAGGUGUGUCAGAAGCUCGGUAAAGUCGGCAGAAGUGGUCCUAAAGCGUGUUUGAAAAUUUGGACGAUGAUAUGCCGGAAGUCUAAAAA